rnacentral:rRNA from 1 species
AUUGAACGCUGGCGGCAUGCCUUACACAUGCAAGUCGAACGGCAGCACGGGGCAACCUGGUGGCGAGUGGCGAACGGGUGAGUAAUGCAUCGGAACGUACCUUUCAGUGGGGGAUAACGUAGCGAAAGUUACGCUAAUACCGCAUUUUCUGUGAGCAGGAAAGCAGGGGAUCGCAAGACCUUGCGCUGAUUGAGCGGCCGAUGUCAGAUUAGCUAGUUGGUGAGGUAAAGGCUCACCAAGGCGACGGUCUGUAGCGGGUCUGAGAGGAUGAUCCGCCACACUGGAACUGAGACACGGUCCAGACUCCUACGGGAGGCAGCAGUGGGGAAUUUUGGACAAUGGGGGCAACCCUGAUCCAGCCAUGCCGCGUGAGUGAAGAAGGCCUUCGGGUUGUAAAGCUCUUUCGGCCGGGAAGAAAUCGCACGGGCUAAUACCCUGUGUGGAUGACGGUACCGGAAUAAGAAGCACCGGCUAACUACGUGCCAGCAGCCGCCGUAAGAC